GGUCUCAUACCGGAGUUGGUCAGAGCGUCGUACUAAUAUUAUAAUAUCAUUAUAACAUUGGUAAUGCGAAGGCCGUGAGUUCAAGCCUCACUGGGACCA